CUGCCGUGCAGCUAUGGGUGCUCAGUGCCUUGAGAUUGUGCCAUUCACACCAAUUCUCCUCCCUGCCCCUGCUUUGUAUCUUUGAUCUUUUCUGUUCCUGAAUGGAAGAAAUGUAAAUACAUGUUCUGGUUUAGCAAGGAGCAGCUUUUGGCUUAGUAACAGGGGGAGGGGGUUGCAGUGAAGACCCGGUAAAGAGUUUGUGGACAGAAGCUAUCGGGAACAGACUAACUGAAACCCCCACUGCAGAGAGGGGAGCUCUUUGGCUGGCCUCACUACGGGAAGCUGGCCGUGGGAGAAACGCUGUCCAUUAAGGUUUACAACUGCAGCAAGGUCUUCAGUAACAGAGCUGUCUCAGCCAGAGCAGAGCCGUGCCGGUCCUUACAGCUCGUGCAGACCUGGGAUUCCUCAGCUUGAAGCUGAUGCUGGCCAUCCCCUGUGUGCCAUCACUAACCAGGAGACCGCUCUGU